GACAGAGGUGCCGAGCGUUAGGCGGAAGUCACUGGGCUUAAAGCGCGUGUAGGUGGCGGCCUAAGUACCUUGUGAAAUCCUGCGGCUCAACCGCAGAACUGCUUGGUAUACUGGGUCGCUUGAGUCAUCCAGGGGCAAGCUGGGAACAAGCGGUGGAGCGGUGAAAUGACGUAGAUAUCGCUUGGAACGCCAAAGGUGAAAACAGGUUGCUGGGGAUGUUCUGACGACUGAGACGCGAAAGCCAGGGGAGCGAACGGG
rnacentral:rRNA from 1 species